UUAUAUAUUGGAAGACAUUCCAUUAAUUCUUUGUCAAUUAUUUAUUAUUGGCAAAUUUUUGAUCGUGCUGUUUAAAGAGAGAAAGAAUUUUGGUCAACUAUUCUAUGAUGAGACCCAAGAUAAUUCUAUCAAUCUAAAACUUUCAUUGCCAUGGUUCAAUGAUUAUGUCAAAAAUAUUUUUUAUCCAAGAAAAACACCAGACCACUCCAAAGUGUUAUUAUAUUUAAGGAAGAUCUACAAUCCUCAUAAAUAUUUUAAAUUUUCAACUCAUACUUUAUCUGUGUUGAUGGUUUGUUCUAUUAUUUUAUAUGCCGUAAGUUUUCAUUUUGUAUGUUUCUUCCAGCUUGCUACUAUAGUUUUCAAUAUUUAUAUGGUUGAGGAAUGAUGAAUGAUUGUUGUAAAAAAUUCAGUUAAAUGUUAUUGAAAAUAUUUUGCGAAAUUCAAUGCUCUUUU